CUCCACUCCCUGUGAGGAGCUGCAGCCACCAUGAGGCCUCCCUUCAGCUCCUCUGCUCUGGGAUGAGCAAACCCAGGGGCCCCAGCCACUGCUCAUACAUCCUGCCCUCCAGACUCAUCACUAUAUUUGUGACCCUCCUUUGGACCCUCUCUAAUUAAUAUUUAUGCCCUUCGUAUGUUGUGGCACCCAGAUCAACACCCAGUGCUGGAGGUGUGGCUGCACUGGGAGAGGGAAGGACAACCCCUUCCCUCUCCCAGUGACAGUGCUGAGCCUGGUGCACCUCAGGGCACAGUUGGCCCUUUUGGGUGCCAGGGCACACUGCUGACUCACAUUCACCUUGCCAGCAACCAGAACCCCCAUAUUCCUUUCUGUGGGGCUGCUUUCCAACCUUUCAUCCCCUAGUCUCUACAUAUAUCCAUGGCUGCCCCAUCCCAGAGUCUCUCUGUUGCUGAGGGAGUAAACGGUUCCUCGUAAUUUAGUUGUAAGAGAAGGAUAUUUUAAAUGCGGAGAAGAGAAUCCAGGAUGUUGUCUCUAUCAGGAAACUAGAAAGGUCUGUCAAAAGAUCAUCUGUGAAGAGGAAAAAGGGCAACAUGUGUCAGGUUCGUGGUUAAAUGAACAGAGAAGAACAAAAAGAAAUGCUGGCCAAAUGCACGGAGGACACAUGAAAAUAUCUCUGGGGGGAGCUGUGGGUUUAACAGGUCCUUUUAGUCCAGAAGACCACAUGAAACCCACAUUGUCAUGGACCUACAGCCCCUCAUCUUAAUGUAUAAACCGAGUCAAGAUAUUUUGCUGCUAAUCAUAUCUCCCCCCAGGGACUGCAUCCUUUGUCAGUGAACACAGAUGAAUUGAAAAGCAAUUCAGGACUAGACAGAAUGCCUGUCAGUUUCUUCUCCAUUUUCCAAGCUCAAUUUCAGACAAAUAGUACCAUCAUGGUAUAGCAAGUACUCAACAGCAACACUUCAAGCCUCAGAAGAGAAGAGAAACAGAACUGACGGUAAGACCCUUAAUCAGGGUGCAUGAACAAGCAGUGAUUCAGUUUAUUCUUGUAGAGCUGUGCUGAGACAAAUAAAUCUUUCCAUAAAGCUACA